GAGUUUGAUCCUGGCUCAGGAUUAACGCUGGCGGCGUGCCUAAUACAUGCAAGUCGAACGGAAGUACCUUCGGGUACUUUAGUGGCGAACGGGUGAGUAAUACAUAGGUAACCUACCCUUAAGACGAGGAUAGCCAUUGGAAACGAUGGAUAAAACUAGAUAGGAUAUAGAGGAAGAAUCUUUUAUAUUUAAAAGAGAGAUCUGCUUAAGGAGGGGCCUGUGGCGCAUUAGCUAGUUGGUGGGGUAAGGGCCUACCAAGGCGAUGAUGCGUAGCCGGACUGAGAGGUUGAACGGCCACAAUGGAACUGAGAACGGUCCAUACUCCUACGGGAGGCAGCAGUAGGGAAUUUUCGGCAAUGGGGGGAACCCUGACCGAGCAACGCCGCGUGAACGAAUAAGUUAUU
rnacentral:rRNA from 1 species